rnacentral:sRNA from 1 species
UGGACUAGUUAAGUCCUUAUAGUAGAACC